AUGAACUUCAUGGUGUCUUCUGAGAAGGGAUCCGGGAUACUUCGAUAGAUGUCGAACGCUUUUCGAUCGACGGAAUGUCUGCAAUGAUCAGGGGUGGUCUUUUUGUAUAUGGGACACGUGAGCCUGAUCGCUCGUGGUCCACCGAACGUGCGAUCGUUGUAGACAGCCAAGGAAAGCGACCAGGGCUUGGCUCUCGAGACGCCAAGUUCCGAAAAUCACCAAUCAGACUUGUCUGCGAGGGUCACGAAGCUUUAUACGAUGCCCUGUCUGCAGAUAUUAUCGACGGUAUGUGCUACAGUGGCUCGAGGCUGGUGCAUGCUCGUACGGGGUCCAGCGUCUUCGCAAUGAGCGAUCUGUGAACGCCAUCACGACAGAGAACUUGUCGUGGGUGACUGGGGAGCAGACCCCAGACAACCAGAGUACCUGGUAUGGAAUGAAUCGUGACGCGUUUCCCGACUGGACCGAACGUUUGGUAGUAAGCUGGAUCCCGGCUGGUCGCGGCAACUCGCCUGCCGUAGACGGGUGUCUAGCGCUCUGAACCCAGCGAACUUGCUCGUUGCGUACCACUGGGAUCCCGGGGGGAGAGAGCGCGCGCGCGGGCACGCGGUCGAUCCUUUGUCUCUCUGCAACCCGACGAGAGCAGCUUAUCCUAGAGUGGCUAUGAGCGUUUCGUAGCUGCCGUGGUUUCCAGCAUUCGAGUUGUGCGGCAAAGAACCCUAGUGGAUACGCGUUUCGAAGCGUCCUCAGCGGCUGCAUCUUCGCAUCUUUCGUGUUCCGUUCAGCGUCUGGAUACGUGCUGAAGCGGUUCGAGGACGCACGAACUCGCCUCCGUUCCUAGACGAUGCGAUAUUGGACACAAUUGCCGCUGAACCGCAGCCUGGACCACGGGUGUGCGAAGAUCAUCAGCAACUGCUACAGAAGACUGGGCAGCAGCAGCAGCAGCAGCAGCAGGACACAUACCAUCAAAAAACCGAUCCCCAGUUCCAGAAUCAGCAGACCAGAACGUGAAUGCGUACUUUACGGGCCUCGUGCUCGUGGUUCAUGGGUGAACGCGUGGUGCACCAUGCUCCUGGCGAUCCACAGCUGCACCAAGCGCCACAUGGUAGCUCGUAUCGCUGCUUGAUGGGAUGCUUUCGACAAGAUGCUGCCUCUGCUGAAAGGCAUGCGCAAACGCCCAUGAACCAACUCCCGCUUUCCAUUCCAUUCAUGCACGACACAAAGGCGCGUGCUCAACUCUACAAUGCGGACAGAGCGCGGUGCACUUUCCACGGCAACUAGCAGUAACCCGUCGUCGUCGUCGUCGUCGUCGUCGUCCACGUCACCGUCAUUCGCCAUCUUUCACAAGCUCGAUAACAUCCCUGCAAAAACUCGUCUAUCCGAGCGCCUCGCGCUGCACGCAACCGGCAAGACGGUAACCAUGUAUCCACAUACACACACACACACACGUACACACGUACAGCUAGCUUCCCGGUUGGUCCGUUUCCGCUCCGAGAAUCACCAGACCCGGCCGCAUCCGUUCCAACGAUUGUACCGAUACCGCCGAAAACGAGUCCUUAUUGCAGCCGCGCACACACAGCAACCGUAAAUACGGCAACGUCGGCAACAAUACCGCGAGCCCGCGCCACGUCACCGCUGUGAACGCCAAGUUCAACGUUUCCAACAAAUGCGGCUGCCCGAGAUCCUGUUGUACCUGCGCAAGCCGUGCAUAUUCCCGUAGACCAGCAUCAGAAAUACGCAUAUUCUGGCUGAUAUUCAGCGCUCGCAGAUACGGCAAGUGUUGCGCGAUCAGGCGCAGCGCGGCAUCGGUGAGCGCACCGCUGCAAACUUCCAAGCUUUCCACAUAUGGACACGCUUGUACAAGAUAGGACAUUCCGCGAUCCGUAAUGUGCGCACCGAACAGGUCCAGGUGCCGCAGGUGCCGCGGUAACCCGAUGCGUCGAUGCAGGUGCACUGCUACCGUCGCUGAGGACAGCGCUGGAGCCGCCACAUCCCUACUGCUGACAGGCUCUGGACUGGCUUCGUUCUCUUCUACCUGGAGCGCAUCAUCGCUGAUGAGUCGAGCGUCCAGUCCCAGCCAUUCUAACUGCUCCAGCGUGGAUAAACUCUUUGUGAUGUUGCUCUGAACGGCUGUGUAUGAGAGAUCAAGCCGCCGUAACUGACGUAAACGCGCGAGCAGACUGGCUCCGACGGCACUCGUGACGUUGGUAUCCGCCAGGUCUAGUUCACGUAA